GGCCUUGACAUACUAAGAACUUUCCAGAGAUGGAUUGGUGCCUUCGGGAACUUAGAUACAGGUGCUGCAUGGCUGUCGUCAGCUCGUGUCGUGAGAUGUUGGGUUAAGUCCCGCAACGAGCGCAACCCUUUUCCUUAUUUGCCAGCGGGUCAUGCCGGGAACUUUAAGGAUACUGCCAGUGACAAACUGGAGGAAGGCGGGGACGACGUCAAGUCAUCAUGGCCCUUACGGCCAGGGCUACACACGUGCUACAAUGGUCGGUACAAAGGGUUGCUACCUCGCGAGAGGAUGCUAAUCUCAAAAAGCCGAUCGUAGUCCGGAUCGCAGUCUGCAACUCGACUGCGUGAAGUCGGAAUCGCUAGUAAUCGCGGAUCAGAAUGCCGCGGUGAAUACGUUCCCGGGCCUUGUACACACCGCCCGUCACACCAUGGGAGUUUGUUGCACCAGAAGUAGGUAGUCUAACCGCAAGGAGGACGCUUACCACGGUGUGGCCGAUGACUGGGGUGAAGUCGUAACAAGGUAAGCGUAGAUGA
rnacentral:rRNA from 1 species